rnacentral:rRNA from 1 species
GAUAAGGUUAAGUGAAUAAGGGCGCACGGUGGAUGCCUUGGCACUAGGAGCCGAUGAAGGACGGGACUAACACCGAUAUGCUUUGGGGAGCUGUAAGUAAGCUAUGAUCCAGAGAUUUCCGAAUGGGGGAACCCAAUAUCUUUUAUAGGAUAUUACUUUUCAGUGAAUACAUAGCUGAUUAGAGGUAGACGCAGAGAACUGAAACAUCUUAGUACCUGCAGGAAGAGAAAGAAAAUUCGAUUCCCUGAGUAGCGGCGAGCGAAACGGGAAGAGCCCAAACCAACAAGCUUGCUUGUUGGGGUUGUAGGACUCCAAUAUGGUAGUCUGUUAGUAUAGUUGAAGGAUUUGGAAAAUUCCGCUAAAGAGGGUGAAAGCCCCGUAGACGAAAUGCUGACAACACCUAGGAGGAUCCUGAGUACGGCGGAACACGAGAAAUUCCGUCG